GGGCAGUGAUGACCAAUUUAUACAUACCAUCAAACUAUGAGAGCUAAAUCGAGUUCGUUGAUGCCAUCUAUUUUUGCAGAGCCA
rfam:Glycine soja cultivar W05 scaffold2988_19, whole genome shotgun sequence.